rnacentral:misc_RNA from 1 species
GAUGAAGAACGUAGCGAAAUGCGAUAAGUAAUGUGAAUUGCAGAUUUCAGUGAAUCAUCGAAUCUUUGAACGCACCUUGCGCCUUGUGGUAUUCCACAAGGCAUGCCCGUUUGAGUAUCAUUAAAUCAUCAACUCUAAAACCUUUGUGGUUUUUUUAGAGCUUGGUCUUGAGGGUUUUGCAGGCUUUUUUUUUUUCGAUUCUGCUCCCUUUAAAUGCAUUAGCUAGACUUCCCUAUGCUGAACCGUCUCUUUGACGUGAUAAUUAUCUGCGUCGAGUUUUGGUUCUCGUUGGGCUUGCUUCUAAUCUUCUGUUAAAGACAAAACGGAUUUGGGUGCAUAUAUGCGCCUUUUUCCAAAACCUUUUUUGAUCUCAAAUCGGGUAGGACUACCCGCUGAACUUAAGCAUAUCAAUAAGCGGAGGA